CAGGAGCAGCAGCGGCAGCAGCGGCGGCGGGGAGUGCGGCGCGGGCCGCGGGAGGCCCCCGGCCGGGCUGCGGCGGGACAUGGCCCGGCGGCCGCGACCUCCCCGGGGCUGGACGACGCAGCUGUUGCUGGAGCGGCUCUAGAGCCGGCAGCCGGGUGCCGUGCCUCCGAGGUCGGGGCGUCCUUACUCUUCCAUUAGCCCUGCCGGUUUGGGGCUUUUAGGGGCGAGGAAGCCUCACGUGGCCUUGGGAACAACCUUCGCGCCGCCGGGAAAGGCGGGUCCUUUCUGACCCUCGGGCACCGUGUGGGCUGGGCUGAGAAAGUGCCCCAGCCGCGCUCCCGGGAUCUGGCGAGCGUACGUGCCACUUUCUCUGCGCUCGUCGGGCGGUGUGGCGGCCCCGGGCUUGAACCGACCCGUUCACGUCAACACCGCUAGCCUCCGUCGCCAGGGUCGGCCACUCGGCCACGCGUCUGUAGCGGUGGGCUGAGCAGUGGUGUGGCCUGCAUACCCCUCCCUACACGCAGCUCAGGUUCUUGGCCAUUCUGCAGGGGUCUUCACGGGUCCCUUGGCCCUCAGUGACUACUGCUUCUCCAUCUCGAGCUGUUUAACCUCAAUGCAUUUGCUGUAGCCCGACUUUCGAUCCUUUGCUUUUCUCUUCAUUGGCUGGAGCCCCCACUAGACUGUGAUUCAGACGGGGCUGAAACUAGAUCUAUUUCUGAGCCGCUGGGAAGUCCCCAUUUCUGUGCUGGAGUAGCCCCAAAUCGUGAGUUGCAUGGAAUCGAAUUCCAGCAUGGGUGGAUUAUCCGACAGUAUGGAUGACAAGAAUUCAAUGGCUCCAGCAGGAGAGUGACUUUAGAUGCCCCACACUCUGAAAAAGAGACUCCACGAAUCCUUUCCAAAUAAACGGGGUUUGCUUUGAAAAGGACUGAACUGGCAUCAUUGGGCGUCUAAAGCUUCAACAGGACCACCUGGCAUCACAGUGAACCUACUUAGGCAUUUUUUUUUUUUUUUGAGAGAGAGAGACAGUGAUAGUGACAGAGAUGGAGAGAGAGAGCUCAAGCAGGGAGGAGGGGAAGAAGCAGGCUCCCAGCUGAGCAGGGAGCCCAACACAGGGCUCGAUCCCAGGACCCUGACAUCAUGACCUGAGCCAAAGGCAGACGCUUAACUGACUGAGCCACCCGGGCGCCCCGUACUUAGGCAUUACUAACAGCGUCACAGUUACCAGUUCCACCCAGUUGACUAAAUGCCUGCACGAAUCCAGCUGUUUUGUCCGUGCCUCCACUCCACCAGCUGAGCUCUGAAGGAGAAAACCAAUCAGCAGAAAAGUUUGGUGCUAUUAGGCAUUCAUAAAUCUCAACCUGGACCAGCCCCUCAACUCUGCCUAAACAUGCUGUUGUUUCUUUGGUCACUUUACUUUCUUCCUUCUGCAAAGACUGCUUCAAACUCUCCUCACUCUCUUCAAAUUUCUCCUAUAAUUUGCCUUGUUCGGAGCAGAUGACCCCUUCUCCGACUGCAGAGAGAAAGUAAAAGUCAUCCAGUGGGAACUUUCUCAUCUUCCCUCCAGAAACUGUACAUCAGUAUCUGGAUUUCCACCCAUCUCUGUUCCAGCCUGUUCCGGUAAAGAGGAGCCUGUCCUCUCAUUAUCUAAGAUCGAUUUCCAACAUAUCUGAUUCUCCUGUCGUCUUUCCCCUUUUCCCUCCUAAUUCAAACGAAUGCUAUCAACUCUUUAUUCUCUCUUCUCUCUCUUUGGCCUCUCUCUUUAUUCUUUCAUUGUUGUGCAAAACAUGUAAACCUGCUGAAACCUAUCAUUAAAAACAAAUCCAACAAAAUCCUUCAUCUUAUUUUCCCUUCUAGCCAUGGCCAUGUCUCCCCUCUCCUUCAUAGCCUAAUUUCUUAAGUCAUUUGAUGUUGUAAGGCUAACUAGAGACACUCCUCCUGGAUGCAGAAGGGUACAGACACUGAGAAGUGGAAGAAAAUACAGAGACAGCUGUAGACCACCACAGUGUACGUGGGCUUUGUGGCUAGAUUGAAUCCAAGGGGCAGGGGCCGCAGGUGACACGUGAGAUCUGCUUGCCUGUGGCGAACUGCGUAAAAUGAGCAUUAUGGCGUAAGUGUGGGUCUGGAAUCAGUCCUUUUAUUUGAAGAUUUUAAAUGACAAUAUUUACUUUGCAGCAUUGUUCUGGGGAUUAAAUGACCUAAUGGGUGUAAAGCUACUUGUCACCGUGCAGGCCCAAUAAAUUUUACCUAUUA